AUAUUUUUCUAGGAAUAUUCUAUUAUUUUACACCCCUAAUAGCUAUUGAUGUUGUCUUGUUUUGAUAUUUUUAGUCUUGGAUAGCUGUUCUGAAGGGGUUAAAUCAGUGAAGUUUUUUUUUUGCUUUGGUCCACUAUGAUCGCGUGAGAGUCAAAUUUUAGUAAGGCUGAUAGGAGGGAGGGAGGGAGCGAAGUAAUUUUUAGGGUCCUAACUGGCACUCGACGGGGUCAUAAAAAACAAAAUGAACAAGAACGGGGUGGGGGAGGGACAAUCCUGAAUUGUCCUAUUUUUUUCCAUGGACCAGGCGGUGUUGAUUGAUUAAUUGAAGUGCCAUUUGCUUGUGAAAUUUUCAAAGAGAGCAGCCACCUUGUCUGUUCCGAAUCAACGUAUCCUUGCUUCUUAAACUAAUAUUCUCUAAUAUUUUUGUUUUUUCAGGUCCUGACCAACGGGAUCGCAAGCAGCCGCCUACUCCACAUGCAGCAGAGUAAUUUGAAAAAUAAAAACCAAAUCUAUCUGCCAGUUAAGUGAGUUUUUUUAAAUUAAUAAUUCAAAAAUUUAUUGCUUGAUUAAUUAAUUUAAGGAAGUCUUAACCCGACAACGGAAUUAUGAAUUUGCCUCAUAGUGAAGGAACGAUGAAGUGCCUAAAUGUUAAAUGAGUGAAUGUUAAAAUCUCCAACCAAUCAUAUCACUGGAUACUGCACGCUUUACUAUCACACUAACACUAAUGAUCGGUGGUGUGAAGGUAUUCCGAUCAUUCGCUCGAUUUGGAUGCAAUGUAACCGGCAUCGAUCAAUAUGUGUAUAGAGCUGAUCGAUGAGUUUACCGUUAUCCACAGAUGUCCAUGCGUGUUGUCAGGUGUGCUAUGUUCCUGUGACACAAACACCGAUAAACAAGCCAUUAGUACAUCUUUCGCCUCGCACGCGCUUCACUUUUGCUCACAUUUCGGGUUUCGGUCGCAUCGAAAGAUCACGUGUUCGGGUCGUAAUGGCGAGGACGAUUGGAUGGAACUAGAUAACCGGAUUUCAGUGCGUGCAAAUUAUAUCGUAAUUUGUGACUAUCAUAAUCGUAUUAUAAUAGUGAGUGAAAUUGUAAGCCGUUUAGUGAUAUUUAGUGCGUAAAUUUCCUACAUUUUGGUAGUGAAAUGUGAAAUGAAAUGUGGUUGUGAAAAGUGAAAUGUAGAGUGUUCAGUUCCUGCGUUAUCUGUGUGUGUAUAUCGGUGAUUUUUAGUGAAAAAUUCGUUUUUAGUGCGUAACUUUCUUUUAUUCUGUUAGUGAAACAUGUAAUGUACAGUUUUCAGUUCCUUAUGUGAUGCUGGGAGAGCUUGAUUUGACCGGUAACAGGCAGCGUGAGCAAAGGAGAAAAUGUACGCGUUUAAACAUGCGCAAAACAUGGUCCUAACCGAUGCUGCCGGUGCGCCAUCCCAUCGAUCCAUCGUACGAUCCCAACCGGACAGGAAGAAGUUAGGAAAGAGGCUGGGAGGAGGGGAAAAAUCGAGCGAAAAAAAAUAUAUAUCUAUGGACACAAGUUGCUCCUUUUUUUCGUGUCCCCAUUCGUCUAUCUACUCUGCUCAGAAGGUAAAGCAAAAAAAAAAACAAACCGUGGAAAAGAAACAGCACCUUCAACAAGGCGACUGCGUGAUUUUCUUUUCCUUCCCAACCCGGUAACUGGUACGCUUCAUGCUUCCCUUUUAUUAAUCGUUGCCUCGAUGAAGAUAGUGGGUGGAAUUGAAGAAGCACGGCACGGGACGGGAAGAUAAUGGAAGGUGCGGGUGGGAUGGUUGUAACCGAGAGAUGCGUUUCGGGUCGAUCGUGUCGACGGUUGAGCUUAGAUCAGCGCAUAAUCUUUCACCACCUUUUAUUUCCCAAGCACCACCCAAAACUACCCCUUAUCCUGCGGGUCUAAUUCACGAUCCUAUGCUGCGAUGGUUUAUUUUUUUCUUUCUUCUCUUUUCUCUUUUUUGUUUUUGCUCGGACAGCUAGCAUGCUUCUUCCUUUUGACAACACCACCUCCAACCCCUUUUCCCUUCCCCCAAUCCCCCUCCACCAAAAACCGCUUCGACCUCCCCCUUAUCGGUUCAUCAACUGGUGAAUCACGAUCGACCGCCCUCAGCGCAACGCGGGCGUCGAUUUUCCCAACCAUUACGAACCCCCGGUAACCGCACAACUAGGACCCACGCUAGGAAAAAAAGGGAAGCGAGACGGUUAAUUCCUUGCACCACGUUUCUUACCUCCCCCCCGGCAAACCCGAUACCGUGGAGUUUUGUGGAAAAGCGAAGCUCCCCCAUUCCGCCCCCUCCUUAUAACCACACGAUGGGGCUGGACAGCUCUAGGGUGAAGAAAAUCUAUAGCGAAAACCCAUCCCGUGAAAGCAGAAACGUUUGCGGAAGGUCAGUUAACGACACACGGAACACACGCGAUGCCGCGAGUGCGAGUAUAAGCGAUCUUAAUCAAAAAAUCGUUUAUACCGCACAAUACGCGUACUGAAUGUUGCCCGGAAGGUAACGAGCUCUAUAUUCGGAACGUUCUGCCCAAACCGAACGAGCGCUGGCUGCACUCCGAUGUCAAAAGAUUUUGCGGGCGGAAACUUAACACCGUUAGAAAGUCGAGCUUUCUGUGCUAAAUAAAAGCAAAUCAACUCAAUCCUUGUUUAUAUUGGACAAUUAAACCACCCACGGCUGAGUUGCUGCAUAACCGUACAGGUAAGUACUGAGUCGAAAUGUCAAACCUCUUACCAUGCCUAGGUUCGAGACCCGAAAUAGACGAAACUUUUUACUUUCCCGAUUUUGAUAAUAUGGGAGCAUUUACUAAAUUGAAAAAUCGGAUUUAUUGGAAAACUGGAUUUAAUUGGAAGAUGAGAAGUAGGGGAUAGUGCACACGAAGUACUGCAUUACAUUUAAUUUUUUUUAUUAAUUCUCUGUCUUUCUAUUUUAUCAAAACUGGAUUUGACCAUUAUAAAGCGAAAGUAUUUAACCCUGUUUUUGUUAUUCACUUGCACCCCAGCCCAUUUUUGUAGUGGGUAGUGUAUUCCAUAAAAUUAUCGUACGUCCAUUAUGCAACGGCAUGGAUCGAACUCCACCGAUUAAC